CAGCAGCCGCGGUAAUACAGAGGAUGCAAGUGUUAUCCGGAAUGAUUGGGCGUAAAGCGUGCGUAGGCGGCUUCUUAAGUCGGAUGUGAAAUCCCUGAGCUUAACUUAGGAAUUGCAUUCGAUACUGGGAAGCUAGAGUAUGGGAGAGGAUGGUAGAAUUCCAGGUGUAGCGGUGAAAUGCGUAGAGAUCUGGAGGAAUACCGAUGGCGAAGGCAGCCAUCUGGCCUAAUACUGACGCUGAGGUACGAAAGCAUGGGGAGCAAACAGGAUUAGAUACCCGGGUAGUCCCUGUCUCUUAUAC
rnacentral:rRNA from 1 species